rnacentral:rRNA from 1 species
GGCUCAGGAUGAACGCUGGCGGCGUGCAUAACACAUUCAAGUCGAACGGGAAUCUUUUGUUGGAGACUUCGGUCAAAGACAAGAGAGGAUAGUGGCGGACGGGUGAGUAACGCGUGAGCAACCUGCCUGUAAGAGGGGAAUAACAGCCGGAAACGACUGCUAAUACCGCAUAACGUAUGUUUCCGCAUGAAGAACAUAUCAAAGAUUUAUCGCUUACAGAUGGGCUCGCGUCUGAUUAGGUAGUUGGUGAGGUAACGGCUCACCAAGCCGACGAUCAGUAGCCGGACUGAGAGGUUGACCGGCCACAUUGGAACUGAGAUACGGUCCAGACUCCUACGGGAGGCAGCAGUGGGGAAUAUUGGGCAAUGGGCGCAAGCCUGACCCAGCGACGCCGCGUGAGGGAAGAAGGUCUUCGGAUUGUAAACCUCUAUGAUCAGGGAAGAAGAAAGUGACGUUACCUGAAGAUGAAGCCACGGCUAACUACGUG